rnacentral:rRNA from 1 species
GACGAACGCUGGCGGCGUGCUUAACACAUGCAAGUCGAGCGGUAAGGCUCCUUCGGGAGUACACGAGCGGCGAACGGGUGAGUAACACGUGAGCAAUCUACCCUUCACAUCGGGAUAACUCCGGGAAACCGGAGCUAAUACCGGAUACGACCACUUCAGGCAUCUGACGGUGGUGGAAAGCCCUGGCGGUGGAGGAUGAGCUCGCGGCCUAUCAGCUUGUUGGUGGGGUAACGGCCCACCAAGGCAACGACGGGUAGCCGGUCUGAGAGGAUGGCCAGCCACAUUGGGACUGAGAAACGGCCCAGACUCCUACGGGAGGCAGCAGUGGGGAAUCUUGCGCAAUGGUCUAACGACUGACGCAGCGACGCCGCGUGAGGGAUGAAGCUCUUCGGAGUGUAAACCUCUGUUGCCCGGGACGAAUAGCGGAUUAUUCCGACUUGACGGUACCGGGU